AUUGAACGCUGGCGGCAUGCCUUACACAUGCAAGUCGAACGGCAGCACGGGAGCAAUCCUGGUGGCGAGUGGCGAACGGGUGAGUAAUAUAUCGGAACGUGCCCAGUCGUGGGGGAUAACGCAGCGAAAGAUGUGCUAAUACCGCAUACGAUCUAAGGAUGAAAGCGUGGGAUCGCAAGACCUCGCGCGAUUGGAGCGGCCGAUAUCGGAAUAGCUAGUUGGGGGGGUAAAGGCCCGCCAAGGCGACGAUCUGUAGCUGGUCUGAGAGGACGACCAGCCACACUGGAAUUGAGACACGGUCCAGACUCCUACGGGAGGCAGCAGUGGGGAAUUUUGGACAAUGGGCGCAAGCCUGAUCCAGCAAUGCCGCGUGCAGGAUGAAGGCCUUCGGGUUGUAAACUGCUUUUGUACGGAACGAAACGGCCCUUUCUAAUACAGGGGGCUAAUGACGGUACCGUAAGAAUAAGCACCGGCUAACUACGUGCCAGCCGCCGCGGUAA
rnacentral:rRNA from 1 species